UGGGGAAUAUUGCACAAUGGGCGCAAGCCUGAUGCAGCCAUGCCGCGUGUGUGAAGAAGGCCUUCGGGUUGUAAAGCACUUUCAGCGAGGAGGAAGGUGGUGAACUUAAUACGUUCAUCAAUUGACGUUACUCGCAGAAGAAGCACCGGCUAACUCCGUGCCAGCAGCCGCGGUAAUACGGAGGGUGCAAGCGUUAAUCGGAAUUACUGGGCGUAAAGCGCACGCAGGCGGUUUGUUAAGUCAGAUGUGAAAUCCCCGGGCUCAACCUGGGAACUGCAUUUGAAACUGGCAAGCUAGAGUCUCGUAGAGGGGGGUAGAAUUCCAGGUGUAGCGGUGAAAUGCGUAGAGAUCUGGAGGAAUACCGGUGGCGAAGGCGGCCCCCCUGGACGAAGACUGACGCUCAGGUGCGAAAGCGUGGGGAGCAAACAGAUUAGAUACCCUGGUAGUCCACGCUGUAAAACGAUGUCGAUUUUGGAGGUUGUGCCCCUUGAGGCGUGGNUUCCGGAGCUAACGCGUUAAAUCGACCGCC
rnacentral:rRNA from 1 species